UUCACUAGCUAACUUCCUCUUUAGUAUUUGUAGCCAGUACAGAACCGAUUUUUUUUAUUUUCUUCUGCUUAAAUUGUGACACUCAUCGAAAAAAGGGGUUUGAAAAUAUGUUUGACAACCAUUUUUAAAUAAACCUAUGUAAUUUAUUUAUCUUCGUCCGUAUCAAUUACAAAACAAUAAAAUAACCUACUAAUUAUAAAACAUGUCUAAUUAUAAAUAAUAUUUUUAUUACCCAUGGUAAAGUGUUUGUUUGCUACAAUUCAAUAAGGGAAUGCCACAUUUUUCAUUUAGCUUUUAAGGAAUUAUAAAACGGAAUUAUACCAUAAGAGUGUGUAAACCAUCAAAGAUUAGAUACUUGUUGCAUUUAAUGUUAAUUAACUUCAAUGUUUAAAAAUAUCUCACGAUAAAUAGCUACUCGAAAUUAUUUCCUUGAUAUUGAAAAAUCUAACACAUUUAAUUAAAUGUAUCAGGUAAGGAGAGUUAGUUGUUCAUGCACGUGAAAAUCGAAACAUUCGGUCAUAUAAUUUUACCAUGAAAAGAAAACAGAAGCCAUAAUAUCAAUCAAGCAAUAUACUAUAGUAGGGCCGAAACGUCUCGCUGAAAAGGGCCGAAACGUCCAGGGGCCGAUUUUUCUACUGGGGCCGAUUUGGUUUGGGGUCGAAACGUCCUGUUUGCGUGUCCGAAGACUGACGGAAAGGGCCGAAAAGUUGCGACCCCAACAUAUUUAUUUUAACAAAAGAACACUUAGAUAAAUGUAUUGUUGUUUUCUAUAAUGAAAAGGUCAGAGUUGACCGAGGUUCGGCGAAAAAAACCGGACAAUUUUCCCGCUUCACACAUUACAGGUCACGUGAUCAUUUGAGCACAGAAAAGACCAGUUUAGGAGGGAACGUCGCACGGCGAAGAGGGCAAAUGGCGUUCUCUGUUGAUUUUGCAGGUGUGUUAAUAUUUUACAACUUUAUUGUGAUUUUUCAGGUAUGUACAGUACUGAAAGAAGAAGAAAAAGAAGAAGAGCCUGUUUAGAAGGGAGAGUCGCAUGGCGAAGAUGGAAGAAAUGGCGAAGAUGGAAGAAGAAAUGGCGUGCAGUCACAGGUUUUACUGGAAGAAGAAGAAAAAGAAGAAGAAUUAAGAACGUAUUUAGGAGUGAGAGUCACAUGACGAAGAUGGAAGAAAUGGCGUGCAGGUGUGUUGAUAUUUAACAACUUUAUUGUGUCAUUUGCAUUUUUCAUUAGCCUAUCGUAUUGAAUGCCUUUGUUAUUUGCCUGCUUAUUUUUAUUUUGAUGAUUUGUAUGCAUAAUUGCUCCUGAUAAUUUAGACACCUGGCCGUUUUAUUACCCUGCUCCCACAUGACUUGCUAGUAAUCGUGUUGAUGAUUAUGGUUGAUGUUGAAUUUUACGGACUAGGUUGACCAGCCGCUCGACGUUACAUACUUCGCGCGACAUAGCAUUCUUCGGCGUUUUUUGUUUAAUUUUUAUUGUAUACUGACAAACAUUCCCGCCACAUUCUGAUUAUUAAUACAUGUAUUUUGCGCAUGUCAAACAGGUUUAUUUAUUAUAUGUAAAAGGAUGUAUAUUGAAGAAAAUGUGUAUAAAAAUUGGUAAAAUAAAUGGAUAUAAAUUUUGCUACUGGUCGGCGCGGUGAUAUCUUUGUUUCACUAUCAGUAUUAAAUGCAUAAUGCCGGGUAUUAAAUGCAAAAAAAGGAAUAGAAAAUAUCACAAAUAAUAGUUUAACUGUAAACAUGUCAAAGAAGUGAGUUUCAAAAAUGUGUAUAAGAUUGUGUAUAAAAAUGUGUAUACAUAAAGAAUUGGUAUAAAAAUUGUGUAUAAAAAAAAGGUAUAAAAAGUGUGUAUAAAACAUGGGUAUAAAAUUGGGUUAAAGAAAGAUUAGUAAGAUGUGAUUUGUAAAAAAUAAUGUGUGUAUCAAAAUAACUUGUAUGAAUAAUUUGUAUGAAAAAGGUAUCAUAAAAGGGUAUUAAAUUGUAUCUGGUUCCUGGUUGGCUGUUUCGCGAGAAAUCCCGUUUAACAUGUCAAAGGUUUUUUUUAAUUAAUAGUAAAAAUAAAAACUUGGGUAUAAAAAUACUUGUAUGAGAAUGUGAAUAAAGAAUAUGUAGUAAAGUUGUUUCUGGUAGGCUGUAUGCUCCAUAAUAUUCCCCAUUAUUUCAUAAGAUGAUAUGAAUAAUGUGUGGUAAAAAAAAAUAUCGCAAAAUUAUAAUUUAAAAAAGGGUUUUAGGUAAAAAUUGUGCAUCUUUGAUGUUGGUAUAACAUGCACAUACUAACUUUCGGUUCAGAGCUCAUCGUGUGUCUUUAUGCAAUUUCUGUUCUAGAGUUAGAAAUUUUAAGCACAAAGAUGGUCAAUUCUAAGGGUUAACACAUAUGUUAACAUUGGUAUGAUAUGCUAUGAAUUGUCUAUAUAAUAUGAAAAGUUAAGGUGCAAAAGGUGGUAAAAAUAAA